rnacentral:misc_RNA from 1 species
GGCAUAGGAAAACAAUAUCUCCUGAUAGGAGAACACUUGUCCGGCUUUUUGACAAGAUUGACCAGGGUACGAUGAAAGAAGGGAAAAAUCUGUCCAAUCGCAUUAUUGAAACCCACAGGAGGCGGCAAGGAUCUCCAAGAAAGAGGAAAGGGCCAAUUUCAGGUACAAAGGGGACGGAUAGGUUUCGUUCAGAGGAGGCAUUCUAUGUAAAUCCUCUACCAGACUGUUUAUGUCGAAAGGAAUCGUCAUACAUGAAUAAUUCUCAAAGUAUCAGGUAGUUAAGAUGAUAACACAAGAUCCAUGUAUUGCAUUAGUGCUGCUGUUUCAGUCUUAUUUUAUUGACGCUGGAGCAGGCAACGAGCUGAUUAGCAUGCGAAAUGUACAUAUACAAUGAGAAGAGAUUGUUCCAAGUGACUUUAUAGAUGUAGAUGGUUGAAAAAAUAGGUGUCUCCAGAGAGAGGAGUUUGAUUGAGAUGAGACUUUCCAUGAGGGGAAGGUUGAUCAAGUCAAAAUUAAGAGUAUAAAAUGUCACACUUGUACAGAUGGAGG